GAUUCCCUACGGGGCGCAGCAGUGGGGGAUAUUGCACAAUGGGGGGAACCCUGAUGCAGCGACGCCGCGUGGGGGAAGAAGCGCCUCGGCGCGUAAAGCCCUGUCAGCAGGGAAGAAAAUGACGGUACCUGAAGAAGAAGCCCCGGCUAACUACGUGCCAGCAGCCGCGGUAAUACGUAGGGGGCAAGCGUUAUCCGGAUUUACUGGGUGUAAAGGGGGCGGAGACGGCGAUGCAAGCCAGGAGUGAAAGCCCGGGGCCCAGCCC
rnacentral:rRNA from 1 species